CGAAGUUUAAGAAGGAAAAACACAUGACGAAAACUGAAAAGUUAAGACAAUACAAAUACUUUGGUAAAGUACCCUUUAGUAUAAUUAUAAUUGGUAAAUGAUGUUCAAGCUUCUCUCAUCACUCUGAUCAUCUUUGUGAACUAUGAUUAUUGACUAGUAUACCUGCUUCCAAAUACAUACUUUGACCCCCUCUCCAGCACCGCAAAUAAAAUAAUCUGAAAGGCAAUCUAAUUAUAACGAAAUCAGAGAUCUAUAUUUUAAUUAGAUUGAAAUUAAAGGUAAUUUAAAAGUGCUGCUAAAAUCUUGGAGGCUAGAUAAGUUUAAUCCAAUAUCUUGAGGACACUCUCCCAAGUCACUGUUGGUUAUUUUUGUUUUGGGAAGUCUCAUUAGCGACAACUCGUUUUAUUAAUGUACGAAGCAGAUGAAUGCUGCAUACUAUUGGUAAACAUUUGUUUUUCUCGUGUUGCUUAGGACGGAACGUGCACUUUUAGCGAUUUAAAUUUCAUGUUCCUAAUUAAUGGAAUGGUUUCAUAGAAAGAUGUUUACUUUUAAAAAUAAAGGAUUGAGUCGGAGAGUGGCGGAAGAUGGUUCCUAUCAUACAAGGCCACUAACAUGAAGUUUUAUUUUCUUAACACGUUGUUAUUUAAUUAUAUUUGUUAAUUGAACAUACUUCAUUCAGAUUGGUGGCCAUAAGCAACUUAAAGCCUCUUUUGCUAAAAGCUUAUUUGAAAAGUAUGAAUAUAAAUUUAUUGUAUUCAAAAUAUACAAGAACGUAAUGGUCUUCAUGUACAUUCCUAGUUGAGCUGAAUCUGAAUAAAUCUUGAGAGAAUUCGGGGGUUGAAAAUGUCCUUUUCUACUGUAAUCUAUUUUCUUAAUCAGUUUCAAUCGACGAAAAUUACUAGGCUUAAACUUCCCCUCCACCUUCAGCUCCUCUUUUAAAAGAGUCAGAACCCAUGCCUGUUAGCAAAUGACUACCUGAUUUGUCCGUUUACCUAAAUUAAGAGUAACCAUGGUCAUGAUGAUUGUCUGUCUGUUGCAUUAUCGGAGAAAAAAAAAUCAAAAAAAAUCAGACGGUGUCUGUAAGAUCUAUUGUGUCUGGACUGAAAAGUUUACUGAAACUGACAAAAAAGUGAUUGACUAUCUAGAAAGGACCUGUAGUCUGGACUUAAAUAUUUUCAAUCAUGGUUUUCAAACCUGAAUGAACUAAUAUAAUACUAUGUGUACUUUAAAGUAAAUCCUCAUGAGAUAAAUACACAUUUUACUGUUUAAAUGUGAAUUCAAAAUACAAAUCAGAUCCACCUACUUAAUGGGAUCACACAAUUGUUAGCCUUGACAGUUGGACCAUAUCUCCGUAAGACAGAGUACAUAAAAGCACACAAACUUCACAUAUAGUUACUGGGUAACGAUAAUAAAUUAAUAAUUGAUAGAUUAUAGAAUGAAUAAGUGAGAGAUUGAGCUUCUUUAAAAGUGCAUAUUUUAAACGUGAAAUAUAAAGUAGAUUAAACACUAUCAUGUUUAAAUAGAAAGAGGAAACGUUUUGAUCGUAUUUGAAUAAAAUUCAGCUGUGCCGAAAUAAACAUCAAAUCUCUAAAUAAUGAAUUACUAAAACAUUUAUGUGAUCUACAGACGAAUAUACAAAUAUGAAUGUUAUAUUUUUAUACUCCAAACUUAAGACAGCUACCAUUUGAAUUUUAGGGGGAGGCUAGGAAGAAAGAUUUAUUAGUUUAUCCCGAUUCUUUUUUUUUUUUUUUUUUUUUUUUUACAUCAUUUGUCAUCUUGCCUUGUUUAAUGAAAUUUAGUGUUGAGACAUAGUUUACAGAACCUACUACAUACGUUUUGUACGUUUUCGUGUAACUCACUUGCUCAACGUUACCCGUCUAAUACACCUGAGAUCAUCCCUAUUUUUAUUGGUUUAGUUUUUUCUGUGUGGUGCUUUCUGUACUAUUUGUCUUUUUCCUGCCAUGACGUUGUCAGUUUCAACUCUCUUUCAUGAGUCUGCAUGCGCGUAGCUACGUUAACGUCAAAACGCCCGGGCGUACACUUGAAUUUUGAUAAAAAGAUAUUAUAAUCUAAAUAGAAUAAAAAGAACUGGAAAAGCACAUCAGCCAUGCAAUUCUUUCUUCAAUGGCUUGUAAUUUCGACUGAAAGUAACGAACUUUCCCUAUUUCAACCAAAUGUUAUCAAAUUAUAUUUUUGUUCAUUUUCUGUCAAAGUCUGAAAUAUGUGAAUUCUAAUCACUUUGCUUUUCUUUAACGCAAUAUAUUAUCUCCUGAAAUUCGAUAUUUGGUUUGCCUUAUUUUGCGAGCCUGUGACAAACGUGUCGCAAAAGCGAGACAUAGCGAUUCUAAACGUCAGCCACGUCAAUCAUAAUUUAAGGUUCAGUAAGGGGUAAACAAAUAUAUCAAUAACUUUGUCAUUCCUUCGUGAAAUUUUAUGGAAGUUGGACCGAAACUGUUUAUGAUCAAAUGAGUAUCCAGAGGAUUAUGAUGAAAUGAUGUCUAUUAUAUCGAUUUGACGAUAAUAUGAAUUUCUUAGCAAAAUUUUGAAAGUUUUUUUUCUUUCAUUUUUCAGUAUUAUAUUCACUAUAUUCACAGACAGACUUUUAUUCCGCAAUUUACAGACUGCAUGUCCGGAAUUUAAGUUCACAUGAUAAAUUUAUAAACCUUCAUAUGUUGUUGACCAGUUCAAGAAAAUAUAGGCCUUAUUUUAAAGUACCGGUCUUUGUAAGAAUCAUGCAGGUUCCUGUUGAUGGGCGAUUCAUGACCCCUCUUCAAAUGUCUUUAUAUUUUGUUUAUGAUGAAGGUAUGGUAUGAAAAUAAGUUUUCUGUAUUAAUUUUUUCUUUUCAACUUUGGUUGCCAUGGAAACCAUCCUUACAAAAUUUUGCCUAAAUACGUCCAUAAGUAGCCUUUGAAAAUUGAAAUAUAAUGGAUUUUAAAGAACCAUAGAAAUAAAGUUAAUCAAUACAAACAAUAUGUAUAUUUACAGUAUUGACAAACACAACCCCAAACUAUACAAAAACGUUAAAAUUUUGAAUUUACUAAAUGGUUUGUUUCCAUAGCAACCAUUUAAAAAUGUGUUAAAAUUCGAAAAUGAAAAAUUUCAAAAACUUUAAAAUUUUAAAUCUGUUUAUCUCCCAAGACCAACAAUACCAUGACAUGUCAUUGACAAAUUUUGAAAGACCACAUUCUAUAUAUUCAGAAAAUAAAAAGAAAGUCGUGUGUUUUUUUUUUUUCUUUAAAAAAAUAAUUUUAGUCAAAAAUUGUCAAUUUUCACCAAAAUUCAGAUUACCAAACAGAUGAAUACUGAAACAUUUUGAACUUAAAAAGCUAAAACAUUCCAUUUAUGCGUGCAUUCCUGACACAAAUUUGGUAAUUAUAAAUGAGAAAAUAUGAUUGAUAGAGAUAUUUUUGUAGAGAAGGACAUUUUUUCUUUCUGGGCAUGGUGCCCCCCCCCCCCCCCCUUUUUUUUCAAAAUUCAAAAAAUUAUUAAUAAAUUUAAAAGAUGGAAUUCAAUUGUGAACAUUUUGAGCAUUAAAACAUGAAAUUUCUUCAAAGGGUGAGGGCAAUAAUAGAACCCCCUACACCAUUUUUAUAUAUUAGAUUUUUUUUUAGAAAUGGGGAAUGUGUCAAAGAGAGAACAACCCAAACAGAAAUUUAAAAUCUUUAGAUUCUAUUUCAUGGUCUUUAAAAUUGACUCUAAAGAACCUGAAUCGAUCACCUGUAAUUUUUGGUUAAAUCUUGCAUCAAUGAUUAUUUGUCCCUUCAAUAUAUAUCAAUGAGUGGCUUAACAAUUCCAUUUAAAUGUUCUUUGUAUCUGUCGUUUUUUCUUCAAAAGCAAAAAAUGAAUUUUACCCCUAUGUUCCAUUUUAGCCAUAGUGGCUAAGUUUCUUGAAGUACAAGGAAAUAAAAAAACUAAAUUUAUACAAGAUUAUAACUCCCAAGUUGGGCUGAAAUUGAUUAAGCAUAUUCAAUAUCAAAAGAAGAUUUUUUUUUAAAGGAAGCAAACUAGAUGAACAAAUUGUGAAAAAUUUCUUUAAAGGGCUAUAACUCCAUACGGAUUCAAUUGACAAUUCUGGUCAUAUAAACUUAUUUGUAGAUCCUACUUUGCUGAAAGUUGUGCUGUUUACAGUUUAUCUUUGUCAUUAAUAAUAUUCAAGAUAAUAACCAAAACUGCAAAAUUUCCGUACAAUUAACAAUUAAGUGGCAGCAACCCAACAAUGGGUUGUUAGAUUCAUCUGAAAAUUUGCUCUUAAAAGGCUUUAGUGUUUGAGAUAUGAGCUACACACUGCAUUUUACCCCUAUGUUCUUAUUUUACCCAUGGCGGCCAUGUUUUUUUACAAAAUAGAAAAUAGAACACAAACUUAAUUCUAGAUAUCCUAAGGAUCAUUCAGUUUAUAAGUUUUACUGGAAUUGGUUAAGUAGUUUCAGUGGAAAUGUUUCAAAUAUUUUACACCGGACAGACGACAACGGAAGCAAAGUGAUGGCAAAAUUCACAGUUCCUUUGAAACGGUGACCUAAAAAAACUACGUCCGUUCUAUCAGAAAUAAACUGAAAAUAAAAAAUAAAAAAUUUGUACCAUCGAGAGCGCUAACAAGGCAACUUUCCAUAAAUUUUAAUAUUUUUAAGGGUCAUAACUCUUUUAAAAAAGUCAAUUGUCCAUGAUUAUAGAACUCAUCCGAGAUAUUGUUGAUAUUAAUCUAGUGUAUAAGUUUUAUUAAAAAUCUGGCAAGAAUUGUACCUGUGGGAGCGUUAAAGGGGCUAUUUUCCAUAAAUUUAUUAUUUUCAAGGGUUAUAAAUGUUUUUAUUAAAGUCGAUUGACCACCAAUAUCUAACUUGUUCGAGAUAUUGCUUAUAAUAACCUAAAGUAUUAGUUUCUUAAAAAUCUGACAUAAUUUGUACAUGUGCGAGCGCUGCAAGGACAGCCAGAUGGACACAAGGACGGAUGGCAAUCAAAAUUUUAAGCAGACCAUGUUUAAACGAAAAAAAUUAAGUUCUAAUUUCGAUUUUUAUUAAUUGAAAAUUUUUUGGUCGCAUAUUGGUAUCACGUUGGCGUCGUCGUCGUCCGAAGACAUUUGGUUUUCGCACUCUAACUUUAGUAAAAGUAAAUUGAAAUCUAUGAAAUUUAAACACAUGGUUUAUGACCAUAAAAGAAAGGUUGACAUUGAUUCUUGGUGUUUUGGUCCCAACAGUUUAGGAAUUAGGGGCAAAAAAGGGCCCAAAUAAGCAUUUUUCUUGGUUUUCGCACAAUAACUUUAGUAUAAGUAAAAAGAAAUCUAUAAAAUUUUAACAUAAGGUCUCUAUGACCACAACAGGAAGGUUGGGAUUGAUUUUGGGAGUUUUAGUCCCAACAGUUUAGGAAUUAGGGGCCAAAAACAGGUCCCAAAUAAGCAUUUUUCUUGGUUUUUGCAUAAUAACUUAAGCAUAAGUUAUUAGAAAUCUAUGAAAUUUUAACACAAGGUUUAUAACCACAAAAGAAAGGUUUGGAUUGAUUUUGGGAGUUUUGGUCCCAACGAAUUAGGGGCCAAAAGGGUCCAAAAUUAAACUUUGUUUGAUUUCAUCAAAAAAUUAAUUAUUGGGGUUCUUUGAUAUGCCAAAUCUAACCGUGUAUUCAGAUUCUUAAUUUUUGGUCCUGUUUUCAAAUUGGUCUACAUUAAGAUCAAAAGGGUCCAAAAUUAAACUUAGCUUGAUUUUAACAAAAAAAGAAUUCUUGGGGUUCUUUGAUAUGCUGAAUCUAAACAUGGUCAUAGAUUUUUGAUUAUGGGCCCAGUUUUCAAGUUGGUCCAAAUCGGGGUCCAAAAUUAUUAUGUUAAGUAUUGUGCAAUACCUCUGCGGUCGUAUAAAGCUGCGCCCUGCGGAGCAUCUGGUUUAUUUAUAAAAAUACUAUUUUUGAUAUAACAAAAAUAAAAAAAUAAAAUAUUUUUUUUUGUCUUAAAUCAGUGGUUUUGAUAAGAUAAUAACACUCUGUAAAGAUUAGACAAAUGGGACAGUUUUAAUCUUGGUACAGUGUUUCCAAUUUCAUUAUCUAUGGAAAAUACAUUGCCUUGCAUCGUUUCUUUUGUGGACUAGUAUACUAUUGCACAGAGUCAGAUUAUGUACACAUAAUGGCUGUUACUAUUUACCUCCCAUGUAAAUCGACAUGUAUCGAAACCUUUAUGCAAACACUUAUUUGUCACUAUGUCGAUUUAACUGUGCUAAAAUUGAAAUUGAAGAAGAACUACAGAACCUUUCUUUUUAUUCUAAUAUAUAAUAAUCUAACUUAUCUAAAAGAUUUGAAAUAAAUGCGGAAUGUGUCCAUUGGACACAGAUGAUGCUCCCGCUUCCAUAUCAUAAAAGUCAUAAACGGACAUGACUGAAGACACUUACCAAUUGUGUACUAACUUUUAUGGUGAUAAGAAUUGUGUAAAAGUUUCGUAACAUUUGGUUGAGGCAAACUAAAGAAAGAAAUACAAAACAAAAAAUUCAGCAACUUUUUCCCUCUAUAAAGAGGCAUUGCAUAGAACAGUGAAAGUUACACCACCAAAAUUCAAAGUUGAUCUGCAUUUGGUGGUUUUAAGCAUUGUGUAUAAUUUUAAUAACAUCUGGUAAAGACAAACUAAAGUUAGAGAACAGAAACGGAAAUUCAGCAAUAUUUCUAUUUGUAAAGGGGCAUAACUCUUGGACGGUUUAAGUGACACCACCAAACUUAGUCUUGUUUUAUGGUAAUAAGCAAUGUGAUUAGGUUUCAUAACAUUUGGUUGAGGCAAACUAAAGAUAGAGAACAGAAACCAACGUUGGGACAUACUGACGGACGGACAAGGGUUAACCUUAAUGCCCCCUCCGCCACUGCGGGGGCAUAAAAAUAUGUAAAUAUAACAAUUGAUUAAAUUAGGCAAAAUUCAAGAAUGGCCAUUGCACAUGGUUGUCAUAAAGGUUUGAGAAUCAAAACAGUAUACAAUAGUUCGGACCAGCAAAUUUUCCUCAGGGCCACAAGGAUAAUAUUUUUGAGAACCAUAAAAAAACGCGAUUAUUCUGCGGUAUACAAAUAAUAAUUCAGUUAGGUUUUAAAAAAAAUAAUAGACAAGCUGUCCUUUUCCACCAUAUACAAUAGAAACAUUGACAAAUUCUUGCACAAUUAAUGUAGAUCGUUGGUAUAUAUUUCCUCAGAUAGAACAUGUAGAAUUUGUAUGCCCCCACUGUAGCAAAGGGGGCAUUAAGUUGUACCCUUGUCUGUAAGUACGUCCGUUCCAGAGUUAUACCCUUAUACAAAUGGAAAAAAAAAUGCUGACUUUUUUGUUUCCGUUCUCUAACUUAAGUUUGCCACAACCAAAUGUUUUGAAACUUAUACACAAUGCUUAUUUCCAUAAAAUUCAGAACAGUUAGAAUGUUAUUGGUGUAACAGGUACUGUCAAUAAGUUAUGCCCCUUUAAAAAUGGAAAAAAUGCUGAAUUUUCCGUUUCCGUUCUCUUUUUUUCGUCUGUCUGACAUAGUUCAUCUUACCCUGACCUCAUUUUCUUAGAACAUUGAUAAUGUUAAGUUAAUAUGAUACUUGUAUUAAAAUCUUUACAUAACACUUACAGAGUUUCAAAAGUAAUUCAAUUAUAAAUAAAACCAACCAGACAUUUCAGGGUGAGUCUUCUUGUUUAGCAGAUCUUAGUCUAGGGUUAAAGUUUUUAAAGCAUCAAUCUGUUUCAAAAACCAACAAUGAGUUGCAUUAAAUUGUUACUGUAACUUCUUUAUAGCCAUUUUGAAAGAGAAAGUAUCCUGAGCUAUUUUUUUUUAAAUGUUCAUUAAGAUUUGUUUUUAUAGAUAAUCAUGUUAUGCUCAUUGUUGAAGGAUAUACGGUGAUCUGUGGUUGUUUAUUUCUAUGUCUUUGCUCUCUCUGGUUGAGAGUUAAUUGUCUCAUUGACAAUUACAACACAUCCUCUUAUCUUUAUACAUAGACUUACUAGUAAUUAAGUUUUGGAUUCAACUUUAUUCUUUUUCACUGACAGCAUCAGUCUUAGACACGACAACGGGUUAUGCGUAUUACCAUUUUUUUUUUAAACUUCUGAGAAAUCUUACAUAUAAGAUUGAAGGGAGGGGGUACAUAUGCUGCCCUCAACUUUAGAAGUUGUGUUAUGCUUAAAUUCUUAAAAUACUUAGUUCACAAGUAAACACAAUGAGAUACCACAUUUCUUUCAACAAAUUUUAUAAUUUUGAAAAAAAAAAAAAAAAAAUCGAAAAAAAAGGGGGGUGCACCAUACCCAGAGUGAUGAUUUUUCAUUUUGUACAAGUAUAUCUUCAUUUAUCAUAUAUUCUCCUUUAAAAUUAACAAAUGUGUGUCAGAAUUGCACAUAUAAAUGGAAUGUUUUAGCUUUUUAAGUCAAAAAUUUUUGAUUAUUCAUCUGAUUGUUAAUCUGAAUUUUGGUGAAAAUUGACAAUUUUUGACUAAAUUUUUUUUUUUAAAGAAAAAAAAAACACACGACUUUCUUUUUAUUUUCUGAAUAUAUAGAAUGUGGUCUUUCAAAAUUUGUCAAUGACAUGUCAUGGUAUUGUUGGUCUUGGGAGAUAAACAGAUUUAAAAUUUUAAAGUUUUUGAAAUUUUUCAUUUUCGAAUUUUAACACAUUUUUAAAUGGUUGCUAUGGAAACAAACUAUUUAGUAAAUUCACAAUUUUAACGUUUUUAUAUAGUUUGGGGUUUUGUUUGUCAAUACUGUAAAUAUACAUAUCCUUUGUAUUGAUUAACUUUAUUUCUAUGGGACUUUAAAUUCCCUUAUUUUAUAUUUUCAAAAAGGGUCUUUUUUCACAUAUUCAGGCAAAAUGUUGAUUUGAUGGUUACCAUGGCAACGGGCAUAAUACAGGGAAAAUAAAGACAGAAUUUUGACCAUCUACCAAAGUUCUUAUGAUAUAGGGCAACAAAAAUUACUUCUGUGACAUGCCAUGAAUCACCUUCUGCAUGAUUUUUACAAAGACCGGUACUUAAGCUUUGGCGGAAAGCAAUCCCAGGUAUGAACCAGGGUUUCGCAGAACACUUUACGAAUUCUAAUAGUGCGCCUUAACAUUUCUGACAUGAGUUUGUACAUGAAAAGGUGUUUUUGUCGAUUAAUUGUUUUACGCCAUGGUAACUUGGAUUUGAUAAUGAACAUAUUUUAAAGUAACUGCUUUGGACAUUUUCUCUAAAACCAAUAACCAUUAGAUUCCAAAUUAACACAAUCAUGACAAUGAAUGAAUUAAACAUAAAAAAGUUUUAGAUUCUUAAUAGCAAUGGUAUCUUAUAUUCGAUAUCUCGCCCCCUCCCUUCGAACUUCUAUCAGCAGGUGCUAUGAAAUGAACCCGCUUGGAACCCUCAGAAUCCCUCGCCGAGUUUCGGGCGUACACGUAAAAAUGACCUAGCUACACCACUGGUCUGUCGUGUUACCUUGCAGGGUAAAGAAGCCGUAAUAACUGUCUGAUGUAGAAAUUAUGUGUUAUAAUCGUUCGUGGGCCAACUCUCCUCCGCCUGUGGCCAAAAUGAAUUUAAAGUUAGCAACUUCAAAGAUGGUUAAUUUUUUACCUGUUGUACGGCAAAAAUUUCCAACCGUACUUGAUAACCGAAUUUAAAUUUUCUUCUCUUAAUCUCGACCGAAGUCAAAGAACAGUGUAAUUGCGUUCUAAGAGAAUGUUGUGCCUCAAACAAAAAAAAAAAGACUUAUUUUAUAUCGUGAAAAUAAAUCAUACAUCAGAAGCGGGUUCGCGGCAAUAUCACUGUAGGGCAAUUGCAUUGAGUGUGGGACGUUGUUUGGAUCACGGACCUGAUUAAACCAUUUUCUUUGAAAUCUGCAUUUGCUGCUUCUCCACUCAGAACAAAGAGUAAGACCAUAGACUACUUUGUCGGAAACACAAUAUGUCUGAAUGCAUGAGUGGAGUGACGUAGUGUAUACAACACAAGCAAUAUUUAUUUUUUCAUAAUUUUGAUUUUCAGAAUACCGAUUCUUCGUAUUUUUUGGUUCGAUCUCACGUCUUUUCAAUUCUUAUGAUAGUUUCUUCUUUUUUUUGGGGUGUAAAGGGGAUGGGGUGGGGGAGGUUAAUAAGACUAUCGGGUUAUGAACAUGCUCAUAGGAAACCUGUAAAUAACAGGAAUGUAUUUAAAUAAAGGAUGUACAAAUUCAACAGAGCGUCAUCUUCAAAUCCAUCUUUGAAAACUAACCCAUGUCAAUAAUCAUUGUAUUUUAUAUAUUAAAUCAUGCUUUUGACAAAUGUGGCUUGAUACAGUACUACACCACUACUCAAAAUAGAUCAUCUGCAUUUUGGAAUUUUGUUGAAUAUAAUUUUGCCUACUUUCAUAUUACAUAUAAAAAGCAAUAGUCUAUUCAGAAAAGUCGGCUUCUUUCUGUGGAAUAGAGAACCGGGGAAUGUGCCAAAGAGACAAAACCCGACAUUAGAGCAGAAAAACCCAAAGCACCAGAAACAGCAUCACAUUCAUUAUAAAAAUAGCUUUUAUGGGGUGAGUCCUUCCUCGUGGCUGAUGCAUAUGCACAAAUACUCGUUAUACCCUACAAUUUCUUCUCCAUUUACAGUGUAGCCAGAUCUGUUGUUGUGAAUGUAUUUAACCAUGACUAUCAAAGAGGAGAUCGUAUACUUUGACAAAUGUUAAUGUAUAUAUAAUUUCAAUAAAGAGCAAAAAACAUCAGUCUUGUUCAAAUUGCUAAAAAGCGAUUUAGUUUACACAUUAUAUAUGUAGGUUGCAGUUAGUAAUGAUUGCAAUGAUUGCACCAAAACUGUAUAAUAAUAACCUCUAUCAAUUUAAGUCUACCAAAUCGUCGAAAGAUGUUUUAUAACAGUUCCUGUAUGUAUUUGUUUUAAUGUGUUCUUUUUUGUAUUUUUCAGCUGCGACGAGGCUCCGGUACAAAGCUCGCACGAUGAUUGGAGCUACCGGAAGCCGACACAUAUCCCAGCGUCGUCGUGCAUCCCUGGCUACACCCGCCGCAUCGCCGUCCAUGUUUUCGACUUUACAUCAGUUGGCGGAGGAAGAUGAAGAGGGUCCAAAAAUUCCUGCGUUGAGGCGGCGGGCAGUCGAUACCUCCGACUACCGAACUUGUGCCAUAUUACAAACACGCCUUAAAAAUGUCAAACAUUACCCCGAGUAAGUAUCUUUUGUUUAUUUAUCUUUUUAGAAUACAUUUGUAUUUAAUUAACAUUUUAUUGCAAGAAUUUCUAUAUAGUUUCGCCGGAUGAAAAUUAAGCAUUAUGGACACUCAGAGAGCUAUUCAGAAAUUUGAAUUCGUUACGACUUUAAAAGCAUUAGUGCUUAAAAAUAGAAAUUUUGUUACACAUAUACAUGUAUAUAUAUUGAAUCAUUGAAUCGUCAACGGAGAAUAACAACACAUUAAUAUAGAGAAAAUGUGAAAAAUUCAUGUUGAAUGACGAACAAAUUUAUAAUUGUAAUUACAUAGAUUGGUAAACGACAAUGAAGUUAGUAUAAACUAUAAUAGAACAUUUUACUCAAGUGGUAGAGGAAAUUGGUGCUAUUUUAGCUGCAACUUAAGUUAUAUCAUGAAAGUAGCUUUAAUAACUUACAAAGGCUUUUAUAUUCAUUUGCAUAAUAGAAUAUCACGACACGUGAGUCUGGUCAUGAAGACAAGUGUUCUUCAUUUCAACUAACACUAUGCAGGCUACAUAUUUUAUCAUUUGUACAAGAUAUUACAAGAAAUAUAAGUCUUGCUAGUUCGAAUUGAAAUUGGCGCUUUACCGUAAGUCGAAAUCAAGCAUAACCGCCUACAAACUAAUUCAACAUUUCAAAAAUGAAAUGGACUUUAUCUCUGACAUCAACAAAGGUUAUUCAUUUUAUAUUUUUUUAGUAAUCCAAAACCGUUAUUAUCACUACACAAGCAAGACAACUCGUGUUUGAUUUUUUGAAUCCUUUUUGAGUUGCGUUUCUUCAAAUAGAUUUUAAAAACCAAGAGCUGCUGUUUUCGUGAAGUAGUGUUUGUAGGUCUAUUCCAAAUUCUAGUUGUCCAUAACCGUACAUUUGAUUGUUGCUUUCUUAACGUACAGUUAACAGAUAUUUCGUGUAUAUACAAGACGAUAACAAAUUGACGAUUAAUGCAAUGCAAAAUGCCAAUAGGUAUAGGUUCGACAAGAUGUUAGACUGCUACUUGAGAAUGAGGGUUAACAUUAUGUUGGAUAUAAGAAAUUGGACUAUGCAACAGACAACCAAGCUUCGGAUCCCCGAGUGUGGUUGCAAUGGUUCUUAAACGAACAGAAAAUGUGAAUCUUAUCCUAUAUACUGUAGUACAUUAGUACCGAAUGUGUAAAUUGUGUUUUCAAGUAACGAAUGUUUAAAAUAAUUAUCAAAUGUUGGAGAAAUGUUUUUCAAGUACCGAAUCGAAAUUCAAGAACUCGGUAUUAUUAUUUCAGAACGUAAUGUACUUAAACCAAAUGACAAUAAAACUAGUUUCAUUAGUCAGAGAGCACAUGACGUGCUGAAAUAAGGUUCCUGAGCGUUUCAUUGGUCAAAGAGCACAUUAUGUCAUAAUAUAAGAUUCACAAGCGUUUCAUUGGAUAAAGAGAAAACAUUUCGUACGUUCUUAAAUAUCCUCCUUCCCUUAUGUUUGAAAGGCAAGGUAGGCAACCGAAAAAAAUCGCAAACAAUUAAAAAACAUUUAACAUUUCUAUGAUUUUUAAAACAUGAUCUCGAAAAAUGGUAGUGGUCGACUACUAGCCAAGGAUGUAUAUCUUAACACAUGAGUUGCUUUUAAGCCUUUAUGUUUUUAUGGUAGUUGUAGAUAUACGUCAGCGAUCCAUCAGAUUGAUUUGUAAUUAAGAGCAACAGGAAAACACUUAAUCAUGAUGUCCUCUAGUUUAAAUAAAGUUACAAAGGACCUGCUUUCGAAAAACUUUUAAUUCUACAUAUACGUGUUCGUUUAUCAAAAAGCAGGUCCUUUUUCACAUAACAAACACGACUCGAAAAUAAAUUACAGUACAUUUUAAUCAAACUUAUUAUUGACCAAUCCUUGUCUCCAAGUUUUUAACGUAAUGAACUUAUUUCGAUAUGCUUUCUCUCUCGACCCAUGUCAGGCAAAUGUAGAUGUUAGUCUUGACAGCGUUGGAUAUAUAAAAAUACGUGGACAGAGAUUUCGCCGAAAGAGAGAGUUUAAUCAGAAAACAAGGAGACACAUAAAGUGGAUGAUAUUGUCACCAGCAUGGUCACGUGAUAAUGGUGUUCAAUCGAUUUUUGUCUACUGUGACACGGAUCUAUUGAUCGUGUUCUUGACAUAUCUAAGUUACAGAGAACACAGUCACGAUAUAUACAGAAGUCUUAUCGUGCAAUAUUCAUUCUAAUUUAUCUAUUUGUUCAUGUGUGACUGUACAGAACGAUACGAUUAUAGUUCUGUUUCAAACCAGCCAACCUAAAAAAAGAUGGGGUCAACUUCAGUAAUUCACUUGUAAUUCAGUGGUUGUCAUUCGUUGAUGUGAUGUGUAACAUAUAUGUUUUUCGUUAAUUUUUUGUACAUAAGUUAAGGCGUUCGUUUUCUAGUUUGAAUUGUUUUAUAUUUGUCAUUUCGGGGCCUUUUAUAGCUAACUAUGUGGUAUGGGCUUUGCUCAUUGUUGGAGGCCGUACGGUGACCUAUAGUUGUUAAUUUCUGUGUCAUUUGGUCUCUUGUGGAGAGUUGUCUUAUUGGCAAUCAUACCGCAUCUUCUUUUUAGCUCACCUGGCCCGAAGGGCCAAGUAAGCUUUUCUCAUCACUUGGUGUCCGUCGUCUGUCGUCGUCGUCGUCUGUCGUCGUCGUCGUCGUCUGUUAACUUUUACAAAAAUCUUCUCCUCUGAAACUACUGGGCCAAAUUUAACCAAAUUUGGCCACAAUCAUCAUUGGGGUAUCUAGUUUAAAAAAUGUGUCCGGUGACCCGGUCAGCCAACCAAAAUGGCCGCCAUGGCUAAAAAUAGAACAUAGGGGUAAAAUGUAGAUUUUAGCUUAUAACAACCAAAGCAUUUAGAGCAAAUCUGACAUGGGAUAAAAUUGUUUUUCAGGUCAAGAUCUAUUUGUCUUGAAAUUUUCAGAUGAAUUGGACAACCCGUUGUUGGGUUGCUGCCCCUGAAUUGUAAAUUUUAAGGAAAUUUUGCCGUUUUUGGUUAUUAUCUUGAAUAUUAUUAUAGAUAGAGAUAAACUGUAAACAGCCAUUCUGUUCAGUAAAGUAAGAUCUAAAAGUCAACAUGACCAAAAUGGUCAAUUGACCCCUUAAGGAGUUAUUGCUCUUUGUAGUCAAUUUUUAAAAAUUUUUUUUUAACUUUUUGUAAUCUUUUACAAAAAUCUUUUCCUGUGAAAGUACUCAGACAAAUUUAACCAAUUUUGUCCACAAUCAUCAUUAGGGUAUCUAGUUAAAAAAAUGUGUCCGAUGACCUUGCCUUCGAACCAAGAUGGCUGACAUGCCUAAACAUAGUACAUAGAGUAAAAUGCAGUUUUUGGCUCAUAUCUCAGAUACCAAAACAAUUAGUGCAAAUCUGACUGGGAUAAAUUUGUUUGUUAGGUCAAGGUCUAUCUGCCCUGAAAUUUGCAGACCAAUCAGGCAAUCCGUUGUUGGGUUGCUGCCCCUGAAUUGGUAAUUUUAAAGAAAAUUUUGCAGCUUUUGGUUAUUAUCUUAAAUAUUAUUAUAGAUAGAGAUAAAAUGUAAACAGCAAUAAUGUACAGCAAAGUAGACCUACAAAUAAGUCAACAUGAUCAAAAUGGUCAAUUGACCCCUUAAGGAGUUAUUGCCCUUUAUAGUCAAUUUUUAACAAUUUUCAAAUUUUUUUUAAAUUUUUACAACAUAUUUUAACUACUGGGCCAAGUUCAUUAUAGAUAGAGAUAAUCGUAAGCAGCAAGGAUGUUCAGUAAAGUAAGAUCUACAAACACAUCCCCAUCACCAAAACACAGUGUUGUCAUGAAUCCAUCUGUGUCCUUUGUUUAUGAUAUGCACAUAGACCAAGGUGAGCGACACAGGCCCUUUAGAGCCUCUAGUUUUAUAUUAACCUUCUCAUGGGUAAUUUUUCAGUCAUUAGGCUGAAGAACAUAUUUAUUAAAUGUCAAUAUAAACCCUGCUAUGACUUGUACUAGACCUACAAUAAACUAAUCCGCCAUUCCAUACCAAAGCUCAAAUCCUGGCUCAUUGUUCUUCCGGCGUGAAGAGGGGGUUGGGAAAGGAUGAUAGGUUAUUAUUUAUGGAUACGAACACAUUUUCGACACAGGCAUACCGAGUAGGAUUUAUUUCGUGUUAGCUCAUAAGUUUAGAGUCCACUGUCAUACAUGCAACCCAACCAGACACAAUUUGUUUUGAGAACAAAUUCCCCACCGCCAUGUAUUUUCACCAAACCCAAUGUAAUUUUCUUCUUUGUAUACUCCACAAACUCAGCGUAUGUAGACGAGAGGGGUUCAAGAAAAUCUUGUGAAAAGCGUUUACAUAUCUAGUUGCAUUCGAAGCAUUUUAAGUAUAUAUAUCUAAUGAAUCAAGGCCUUUUUAAUGAUUUUCGCAGUUGUUCUAAUGUUAUGUCGUUAUACCACUGCUAUCAGCUUAAAUAGAUUUAAAAUCUUUACAUGACUGAUGUGUCCCGGGGCCUAUCUAUAGAUUCCUUUGGUUUUGCUCAUUGUUGAAAAAAUAUUUGUAAUAAUUCAUUAAUAAGAAAUAAUUACGCAACACUGUCUCAAAUGCUCCAUUGUAGAAUCCCGUAUAAGAGUUACAAGAUAAAUGUUACUGCAGACCUUGGAGAAACCUAAAGGAGAUAUAUAAAAAGUUAUAUUUAUACAAUUUAUUGUUUUGCCAAUAAUUGAUUGCUAUUGCUGUCUGUAUCAACUGUCCAAUAACAAACCCCGUCACAUAUCAUCAAUCAUCUAAUCAAAAAUUUAUACAACACAAUGUCCCAGUUUUAACAAACAAAUGCAUUAAUAGACUGAUUUUGCACAUUAAAUACCUCUGCUAAAGGCCUGAUCGAUAGUUUAUCUGUCUUCGUGUGUGUUUCAUUUACCACAUCUUUUACAGCCAUUAAAAAGAUUAUAGCAAACAUGAUGGAGGUUUUAGAGAAAACGAUUGGUGAUUAAGGAGAACGAUAUCCUUCUGGAAAGGAAUCAAAUGUAUCAAGACUUCUUACUAGUCAUAUUACAAACAGUACCUUCUGAAGAGCAAACUUAAAAACCCUUUAGAGCAAUGUCUACGGUACAUCACGUAUAUCAUUUAAAAGUGAAAGCAGAACAAGCCUUCAGAAUACGAUCUUCAAAAAACUCUUCUAAAAAGAAAAGAUAAAACAACAUUCAGAGAUGUCAAUGAUGAGUAUCUUUCUAAAUCAGAAGCUGAGCAAAACACUUCAAAGGUGGUCAUGUAAGUAAUCUCGUUCUGAAAAAAAAAGAUUGAAAAAAAACCCGGUCACACCUACGCGAUAGCACGAACGGCGCUUACGAAUGAAAGAUAAAUUGCGCGUAUGACAAAAUGUUAUCCGUUUGAGUCGUUGAUUGAGACGAAUAAAACGGGACGUGAACAGAUGCAUAACGGACACCACCGAAUUACGCAACGUAGAGAAACGGACACGUACCGGACAGAACGAAUGUCGGAACGACAUCAAACGACAGUACCUGCAUAUAAAAACGGACACUAACGAAGCGUACNNNNNNNNNNNNNNNNNNNNNNNNNNNNNNNNNNNNNNNNNNNNNNNNNNNNNNNNNNNNNNNNNNNNNNNNNNNNNNNNNNNNNNNNNNNNNNNNNNNNNNNNNNNNNNNNNNNNNNNNNNNNNNNNNNNNNNNNNNNNNNNNNNNNNNNNNNNNNNNNNNNNNNNNNNNNNNNNNNNNNNNNNNNNNNNNNNNNNNNNNNNNNNNNNNNNNNNNNNNNNNNNNNNNNNNNNNNNNNNNNNNNNNNNNNNNNNNNNNNNNNNNNNNNNNNNNNNNNNNNNNNNNNNNNNNNNNNNNNNNNNNNNNNNNNNNNNNNNNNNNNNNNNNNNNNNNNNNNNNNNNNNNNNNNNNNNNNNNNNNNNNNNNNNNNNNNNNNNNNNNNNNNNNNNNNNNNNNNNNNNNNNNNNNNNNNNNNNNNNNNNNNNNNNNNNNNNNNNNNNNNNNNNNNNNNNNNNNNNNNNNNNNNNNNNNNNNNNNNNNNNNNNNNNNNNNNNNNNNNNNNNNNNNNNNNNNNNNNNNNNNNNNNNNNNNNNNNNNNNNNNNNNNNNNNNNNNNNNNNNNNNNNNNNNNNNNNNNNNNNNNNNNNNNNNNNNNNNNNNNNNNNNNNNNNNNNNNNNNNNNNNNNNNNNNNNNNNNNNNNNNNNNNNNNNNNNNNNNNNNNNNNNNNNNNNNNNNNNNNNNNNNNNNNNNNNNNNNNNNNNNNNNNNNNNNNNNNNNNNNNNNNNNNNNNNNNNNNNNNNNNNNNNNNNNNNNNNNNNNNNNNNNNNNNNNNNNNNNNNNNNNNNNNNNNNNNNNNNNNNNNNNNNNNNNNNNNNNNNNNNNNNNNNNNNNNNNNNNNNNNNNNNNNNNNNNNNNNNNNNNNNNNNNNNNNNNNNNNNNNNNNNNNNNNNNNNNNNNNNNNNNNNNNNNNNNNNNNNNNNNNNNNNNNNNNNNNNNNNNNNNNNNNNNNNNNNNNNNNNNNNNNNNNNNNNNNNNNNNNNNNNNNNNNNNNNNNNNNNNNNNNNNNNNNNNNNNNNNNNNNNNNNNNNNNNNNNNNNNNNNNNNNNNNNNNNNNNNNNNNNNNNNNNNNNNNNNNNNNNNNNNNNNNNNNNNNNNNNNNNNNNNNNNNNNNNNNNNNNNNNNNNNNNNNNNNNNNNNNNNNNNNNNNNNNNNNNNNNNNNNNNNNNNNNNNNNNNNNNNNNNNGGAUAAAACGAUGAACAAGAUAUACGGAAAAAUCAAAGGCGAAAAAAUAAUACAUGUAAAUCGCAUAGAUAUUCAAAAUGUUUCUGUGUUACUGUUUUGGUUUGUUGCAAAGGGCAGUGUUGCCUGAAUAAAGAACGCUGAUUGUGAAGUCGGUGGUAUACUCGAAGAUCGAUUAUGAAUAAUAAGUAUUCAUGGACCUUAAGAAAUCUGACAUACCAAUAAUUGGCAUUUCUGACGCGAAAUUUUCAAUUGGCAUUUAUCUAUUUCAGAUCCGUUCAUUAUCCGUUUUAUCCGUUAUACGUCCGGUAGAAGUCCGUUGGUGAAUUUAUCUUCCAGACCUCCAACGGAUGUAUAACGGACGCGUAACGGAUACAAAACGGAAACGAAACGGACGAGUAGCGUACAAAAUGGACGCCUAACGGACGUUUUAUCCGUUGGACGUCCGUUCAAAGUUUUGAACAUGCUCAAAAUAUUCCACCGGACAGAACGGACGUCGACGGAUAAAACGUACGCUUAACGAACAUGCAACGGAUAUGGACGGACGUCUAACGGAUAAAAGACGUCUAACGGACAUGAACGGAUUGAAAAAAAAAGUUAUCCGUUAGGCGUCCGUUCGAGCUAUCCGGUAAGGUGUGACCGAGGCUAAAGCUAAACAACCGGCCAGAGAUGGUCCACAGUUAUCUCUUCAGAGAGAAAGCUAAACCAUUCUUCAGAGAUGAUACACAGUGACCUUUUCAGAGAACAAGCUCAACCAUCCUUCAGAGAUUGUUCACGGUAGCCACGAAGAUAAUGAAAAUAUUACGUUCGUUGAAAUUUGAGACGUUAAUGAAAAAAUUGCACAUGUAACUGUGUGAGAUAUAUACACUUCAUCAGCAUCAAACGGAAAAUCAACCAUGGGAAAGGAAAAGUUUCCCAUUUUAUCAAUAACUAUAGUAUGAAGAUUAUCAAUUUAACUACGAUUCGAACUUCCGCAUGCAAAAUAGAUAUCUAAGAUUAAAAUGUUUACUAGUAUUCUGUUUAGGUAGAUUUGAUCAUACCGCUCCUGACAAUACAGCGUAUUUACCCAUCUCUGGCUUUCAAAUGUCUAAGUUUGAGCGUCCAUGAAGGUAAAUCCAGAAAUGUGUUUCGAAAUUUAUUGAAGUAUAUAUAUUUUUUUUUAAAUUACUACUACUAAGUCUUUGCCGCUGCUUGUAGACUAUUCGUCCUCGGGAAUGUUAUUAGUUCAGCAGUCAACGCGUUGGGUAUUGACAUGAUUUAGUAUAACAUAUACUUAUUUAAAAUUCUCGUCCAACAAUUAGAAAAAAAUAUAACGAAAAUAUCAUUAUCAAUCUAAAACGUUUUUAUUCUAUAUUCGUAACCUACAUGUACUUAUUUAUUGAAGAUGUAGUUGCACCGCUGAAUCAAUGGAACCCAAAACAUAUGAGAUGGACAUAAACUUCAAUAUCCAUUAAUUACCAAUACAUUUUGUUUUAUAACAUUAAAUUGUUUACGGAAAAAUCUAUUUACCACAUAAAUCUCGUUGCAAACGUGACAAAAGAGGCAUAUUGUUUUGAAAUGACAACAGUAUUCGUAGUAUAGCAAUCAAUAUUUCUUCAGUUAUAAUUUAUUUUAUAUAAUAUCCUGUCUGUACGAUAUUUCCGUCUUUUUGCCAUAGUUUUCCAUAAUAAAUUAUUUUGCAGACGACCACACAUUGAAAUGUAUUAAAAUGGAAAUGGUAAUCUAACUCGUUGGGUUCCGAAUCGUUUUUGCAAUUUUUGUGUAAAAAAAAACGCCGUUUUAUCUACUCAUUAAGUCAACGGAUUUUUCGUUGUGAGUGUCUGUAUUUGUUAUCCAAAUGAAUGUCUCGGGUUGUAUGAUAAGCCACUGACAACCAGAUCAUCUGUUACUUAGAUGUCAGUCUGUGGUCAUUGUUUGUAUCUGUUAAAUGGUUGAUAACAUGCGGUCAGUAUUUGUGUAUUUGUUCAUCAAAUGAAAGUAUAUGGCGAUAUAUAGUAUCUGUUAUCCGGAUGAUGGUCUUUUAUUAUUGUUGUAUAGGUUUUUCAAUUUAUAUUCUGUGUCCGAUAGUCAAACAAUAGUCUGUUAACCAAAUAAUGAUCUCUGAUGAUUGUUUGUUUGUAAAAGUACCCGAUCAGAUUAUCUAUAAGCCAGCUGAUAAACUGUUGUGACUGGCUGUAUCUACUACCCAAUUGUAUCUGUAAGGCUGCUGAAAAUCUGGGGUGAUUGUCUGUAUCUAUUACCCGAAUAAUUGUAUCUGUUAGGCUGAUGUUAGUCUGUGGUGAUUGUCUGUAUCUAUUACCCGAAUGGUUGUAUCUGUUAGGCUGAUGAUAGUCUGUGGUGAUUGUCUGUAUCUAUUACCCGAAUGAUUGUAUCUGUUAGACUGAUGAUAGUCUGUGUUGAUUGUCUAUAUCUAUUACCCAAUGGUUGUCUCUGUUAGGCUGCUGAUAGUUUGUGGUGAUUGUCUGAAUCUAUUACCCGAAUGGUUAUCUCUAUUGGGAAGCUGAUAGUCUGUGAUGAUUGUCUAUAUAUAAACUGUUGUGACUGGCUGUAUCUAUUACCCAAUUGUAUCUGUAAGGCUGCUGAUAAUCUGUGGGUGAUUGUCUGUAUCUAUUACCCGAAUAAUUGUAUCUGUUAGGCUGAUGUUAGUCUGUGGUGAUUGUCUGCAUCUAUUACCCGAAUGAUUGUAUCUGUUAGGCUGAUGAUAGUCUGUGGUGAUUGUCUAUAUCUAUUACCCAAUGGUUGUCUCUGUUAGGCUGCUGAUAGUCUGUGGUGAUUGUCUGUAUCUAUUACCCGAAUGAUUGUAUCUGUGAGGUUGAUGUUAGUCUGUGGUGAUUGUCUUUAUUGUCUAUUUGCCGAAUGAUUGUAUCUGUUAGGCUGAUGAUAGUCUGUGAUGCUUGUCUAUAUCUAUUACCCGAAUGAUUGUAUCUGUGAGGUUGAUGUUAGUCUGUGGUGAUUGUCUUUAUUGUCUAUUUGCCGAAUAAUUGUAUAUGUUAGGCUGAUGAUAGUCUGUAGUGAUUGUCAAUAUCUAUUACCCAAAUGAUUGUAUCUGUUAGGCUGAUAGUCUCUGAUGCUUGUCUAUAUCUAUUACCCGAAUGAUUGUAUCUGUGAGGUUGGUGUUAGUUUGUGGCGAUUGUCUUGAUUGUCUAUUUGCCGAAUGAUUGUAUCUGUUAGGCUGAUGAUAGUCCGUGGUGAUUAUCUGUAUUGUCUAUUUGCCGAAUGAUUGUAUCUGUUAGGCUGCUGAUAGUCUGUAGUGAUUGUCUAUAUCUAUUACCCGAAUGAUUGUAUCUGUGAGGUUGAUGAUAGUCUGUGAUGAUUGUCUUGAUCUAUUACCCGAAUGAUUGUAUCUGUUAGGCUGAUGAUAGUCCGUGGUGAUUAUCUUUAUUGUCUAUUUGCCGAAUGAUUGUAUCUGUUAGGCUGUUGAUAGUCUGUGGUGAUUGUCUAUAUCUAUUACCCGAAUGAUUGUAUCUGUGAGGUUGAUGAUAGUCUGUGGUGAUUGUCUGUAUCUUUUACCCGAAUUAUUAUACCCCCGCUUUAGAAAAAGGGUAUACUGUUUUACAUCUGUCUGUCCAUACAUCCGUCAGUCCGUCCGUCCCAUGACUAUUUUUCGUCGCCUUUUUGCCAGGAACUACAAUGCCAGGAUUUCUGAAAUUUGGUUUCUAGGUUUAUAUAAGUCAGUUAUACCGUGUGAUGCGUUUUCAGAUUCAUCACUCGACAACUCCCUGUUUAUCGAACACUUGUAUCAUUUUACACAUGAUGAUCAAGUUGAAAUUGUUCGUCACAUUUUUCUCAGGAACUGCAAUGCCAGGAUUUCUGAAAUUUAGUUUAUGGGUUUAUAAUAGUCAGCUAUACCAUGUGAUGCUUUUUGAGAUUCAUCACUCGACAACUUCCUUUUUACUGAACACUUGUAUCAUUUUACACAUGCUGGCCAAGUUGAAAAUUUUCGUCACAUUUUAAUCAGGAACUUCAAUGCCAGGAUUUCUGAAAUUUGGUUUCAGAGUUUAUAUAAGUCAGCUAUACCGUGUGAUGCGUUUUUAGAUUCAUCACUCGACAUCUUCCUGUUUACCGAACACUUAAAUGUGUUUACACUAUUAACAUUAUCCACUUGCGGCGGGGUAUCAUCAGUGAGCAGUAGCUCGCAGUUACACUUGUUGUAUCUGCAAGAGAGAUAAUUUUCUGUUGUGAUUGUAUCUGUUAGUCAGGUGAUAUUCUGUGGUGAUUGUUUGUACCUGUUAGUCAGAUGAUAUUCUGUGGUGAUUGUUUGUAUCCGUAAGUCAGAUGAUAUUAUAUGGUGAUUGUUUGUAUCUGUUAAUCAGAAUAUGUUCUGUGCUGAUUGUUUGUAACUGUCAGUCAGAUGGUAUUCUGUGGUGAUUGAUUGUAUCUGUAAGCCAGAUGAUAUUCUUGGGUGAGUGUGCAUAUCCAAUAGCCAGAUGAGUGUAUAUAUAUAUGAUGGUUGUUAUUAUGCUAAUCUGGGGAUAGUAUGUGUUGGAUGUUUUUAUCUGUAAGCAAUAAGACUGUUUUUCCCUGUUAUUUAAACUCUUGUCUGUUGUUAUUUAUAUAUGUUAGCGAAUGGCUAUUCUUAGUUGAUUAUUUGGAACCUCUAGUAUAGUUUGUGUAAACUAUAAGUUAUUCUGCAGUGAGUGUUGGUAUCGCCAUGGAUUAGUCUGUUAUCGAUAAUCUAGUUUAGCCAGAGUUAGUUUAAUGUGAUAUAGUUCACACCGUAAGAAGUAUAACUUUAUGAGGAUUUCUAUAUCUAAAAAUAUCUGUUAGCUGAUAUUUAUACUGGAACAAUUACAUUACAUGCACGUUUCACAAAACAGCUUUGAUUUGAUAGGUUCAAAACAAAAACGAGACUUUUCAAAAUCAAAUUCAAUAAUCAUGACGUAUUCCUUAUAACAACGUCAUUGUAAUGCAAGGGAAAACAAACGAAAAUUUGCUAUAACUCAUUAGUUCAUAGCUGAAGCAAACAAAUUUCAAAAUUUAAAAAAUAGGGGUCCAUGGCUCGUCUUCAAAUUAAAUCAGUUUGAAUGGUAAAAAUCAGUCGAAAAUGCAUCUUUUCCCGAUAUGUCAGAGUUUGACGUCGCGAAAAUAACAUUUUACGUUAGCAACUCAUUACCUUCCCUGUAACUGUAUCGUAUGCCCUUAAAAGAAUUAGUAUGAAGCGUUUCAGCGUUUCAUACAAAAUGCACGUCGGUCAACGCAUUUACACCCAAAUAAAUUUACAAAACAAGAAUUCAAUUCUAUGUAAUUGUCCGUCCAGGCAGGAGUGAGUGUGUGUAUAUGGCAGUAAGGAGUUGUUCUGAUUUGAAUGUUAAGGCCGCCAUUUUUGUAGUCAAGUAGACUAAAAACGACUUAGCACUUUUACAAAUAAUUUAAAAGGAAAUGGACACAAAAAAGAUUGUGUAUUCUGAUAGCCAAUCGUUUUUUCUUCUAGUUAAACACAAAUCUCUGUUGUCUUAUUGACUUGAUCUACAUAUUAAUGUCGAUUUAUACAUAAUUUCACUUUGUUUCCCUAAGCCAUGGAUAAACACUAUUUCGUUUAUCUCAAUUCGAACAAAGAACACAAUGGAAUGGACAAUGUGUCGAUAAUAAAGACAUGUUUAUUUGAUGUUGGCUAGCUUGACAUUUGAUUUUAUUUGAUACUGAAAAUCUAGAUAUGACAGCGAAUAAAAAUCUUUGAAUAAAAUGGCAAUAAAUUUGUGAUUGAAUGACUUCAUUGAUUCUUGGUUUACGAUGUAAAUAAAUAAAUUAAGUAUGACUGUAAAAUGUCAUUUCUUUGUGUUUGGAAUAAAAUAUUACCAAGAAUUGAUUUUUGACAAUGUUUUCUGAUUGCUUCUGUGCUGUGAUUGUUUGUGUUUUUAAAUCUACACUUUGAACGUUCAUGCAGUCAAUAUAUGUAGAUAUUUGCUUGAAAAAAAAUCAUUUCUUUAAUGGUGAACGUACACGUAAUUUCACAGUUUCCAAUCUUUUUUCACUGAAGCUUUGAAUUUGCUCUUCUGGCAUAAGAAGGGAUCAAAGUAAGAGAUGAAAUGUUUCAUUGAUUGCGUUUUGUAUUGAAAGCAUUUUAUUGUAGAAAUAUUUUAGGUUUUUGGUUCGUGAUCCAAUUCUAUUUGAAUUUCUUAGUCUAAUCUGGACUAUCUUUAUCUGGUGUUCCUCCCUUGAUUUUUUCCCCAGUUUGUUCGUGAUGACAUUUUUGCAAGACGAAGAAGCUGGUUUUACACUGAACAGUUACUCAUAUAGAACUAUUAUUUCAUAUUUAUUUGUGUACUUAACAGUAACAUUGUAAUGUUAUUGAUGUAAUUUAACCUAAAUGUCAUUUUCAUCAACAGAAAUCGAUAUGACAGUUGGAGCAUAAUAAUUACUUAUUAAGUUUGUCUUUAUUAAUAUCAAGGGAACAUCUAUCAUAUCUAACCCAUAUGAAAGGUUUAGAAAGAAAACUGGAGUUAAUUUAUAGGAAGUUUACUCUUUAGAAACAUAAAAAUGGGGUCGUCCCUUUUUAGUCUUCAGCAGUACAUGCAUAGGUGUACAAUAGAUUUAUGAUUAGUUGCUAUUACUUUACGUCCAGUGGCACUUUUGAAUUUUGAAGGAAAAUUUUCAGUUAAGGAAAUUGUCAACUACAAUGACAACACACAUGAAUAUGAGUGCGAGUACGAUCAAUAUACACUAAUAACCCAAAAUACCAUAGAAGAAAUGUUUGUGGAAAAGUUUUUGGACGUAUAAUUAACAAAUUAAUGACAUCAUAAAAAUAUGGAAUAUUGGUUUGAUGGUGGGUUUUUUUGCCGACGUAAAUUAUUAUGUAACUUAAGGGAUGAUGAAUUUAAUCAUAUUUUAUUUAUAGGAUAUAAAACAGGUUGAACAACAGGCACAGCCUAUAAAAGCCAUACUACAUGUACAAAAUAUAAAUUAAUUAUUUAAACAACUGUAUUUAAAAUAACAUAAAAUAGAGAUUAAUAAAAUUGAGAAUGGAAAUGGGGAAUGUGCCAAAGAGACAACAACCCGACCAUAGAAAAAAAAACAAUGCAUACUACCUAUGAGCACAAACAAAGACAUAGAUAUUUACAAUGUUAAUAUCUUAGUUUAUAGUAUGCAGGGAAUCAAUCAUCAUUUGUAAAUAUCCUAUAUAAGUUAUCAUCAUUAUAUAUAUAUAUAACAGAUAUAAUAAUAGCAAUAUUUAUAUCAGAAGAAAAAAAUGUUUUCAAAAAGUAAUAAGUCAAUAUGUAUGUCAACAUUAAGAUGUGUCUUAUAUCAUUGUACACAGGGCAAAUAAAAAAGAAAUGUUGUUUAUCCUCAACAACGAACAAUAACUAAUAUUAUGUUUCCUUAUCUCAUAAUUAAAAGAUUUACCCCUUCUUUAGUCUACCUCUUCUUGAAAUAAACACACACUUGGGGAUUUGCAUACUUAGAAUACUAUUCCAACCUUAUAGUGGAAGGAAUGAAACUAUUAAAAAGAGAGCUAGCUCUAUGAUGACAUAUAUGACAAGGAUUAUGACUAAUUUGGGGUUUGACAAAUCAUAUGUUAAUAAAUAAUUUUGAAAUAUACUGAUAUUGUAAGUGAAUUAUCCUGCUAUCAUUCAAUUAAGGCAUGCAUGUUUUACAUGACCGUGGCACUAUCAGUGCUUACACGAAAUUCCUUCAUUGUAUAGAAUAUUUCUCCUUUUAUUUCAUAUUAUGUAUAAAUAUGUAAAUCUAUCGUAGAACAGAUGGUCCUGACAGACCAUGACAAUCGGGUAAUACCAUAUUUAAUUAUUAAAUAUCUAAUUUGUGUACCACGUGACCAUAUUUAUUUGUCUUUUGACUGAUUUUGGCGAUCGAUCGGAUUGUAAAAAUCGAUUAAUCGCAUCACACAACUGUUUUCCAAUAAUUAAGCUCCUCAUCCGAUCAUUGUUCGUCACGUGAACUAAAAAGUAAAUAAUAACAGAAUAUUUACUAAGAAUUAUUUUUCGUCAUUUCAUCUUUAGUUUUAUUUCCUGGAGAUUUUCUGUAAUACUGUCUUCUGCUACCGAUAUAUUGAGGAUUCAUUAAUAAUACAAUAUCUACCAGGAGAAAACCAAUGUUUUAACACACUGGUUUGCGAUCGAUGGUUCCGAACGCAUUCGGCACAUCAAACACAUACAGGCUAUUCAAGCCUAAUUGCUUAGUGUCAAAUUUCGUGUAAUUUUUUUUUAUCAAAAAGCAAAAAAUCCGGAAGCUUAUGAUAUGAUGAACUUGUGUGAAGAGUGUUGAAUGUGAUAUUUUUUUUAUUGAGGGAAUUAUGUACUCGGAGGAUUAAUCAAUGGAUAUCUUCCAUGUAAAGGCUUAUACUGUGUUUUUCUGGCGACGAGCUAUUUGAUCCCAAGUAAUUUACAAAAGGUAAUGAUUCAUAUACUUAUUCAUCAUGUCGAUAUGUAAAGUACUUAUCUAAAUAUGGGUAUAAUUCAGUAAAGUAACAAUGAAAUGUAGUUUCCAUACGAUCAUUAUCACAUGCCCCUUUUGUGUUAUGAAUCGUAUACAAAUACCCAUCUAUGUCCUUUUAACAUAAACUCCUUUCCCUUCCUAGAUAUUCACUCUCUUAUAAUCAUCUACAACAAAUUUUCGGAGUAAGUUAUUUUUGUCAGUACAACAAUCAUAAUAAAUACAUAAUAAUUAAUACAACAACAAUAGUGUGCUAUUGAUAUUGUGUAUAUAUUGCUUAUAUUAAUUCCCCUAAUCUUUUUCUAUUUGGUUGUUGCAAACCGUUUUCGCAAAAAGAACUUUCUCAUUUCAAAGAUGUACAACCGAGUAGUAUACAUGCAUGGCAAUAUUCUAACUUCUUGUAUAUUGUGUUUGCUCAGGAAAUACCAUUUUUACUAAUGUAUAUAUUUGCACAGGAGAGGGAAAUUUGAAUUUUUGACUUGAUGUAUAUGCUUAGGAUGUAGAACAUUAGACUUAGUGUAUAUUUCCAGGAGGUGGUAUAAUAAACGUGGUGUAUAGACUAAUUUUUGUACAUAAAUAAAUAAAUCCGUUAGUUUUCUCGUCUGAAUUGAUAUACAUUGUCAUUUCGGGGCAUUUUGUAGCUGACUAUGCGGUAUGGGCUUUGCUCAUUGUUGAAGACCGUACGGUGACCUAUAGUUGUUAAUUUCUUUGUAAUUUCUGUCUCUUGUGGGGAGUUGUUUCAUUGGCAAUUAUACCACAUCUUCUUUUUUUUAUUUUGACUUGUAAUAUUUGCUGAGAUGGAAAAAAAAAUGACUUGGUGUAUACGCUCAGGAGGGAAAAAAAUGUCUUGGUGUAUAUGCUCAGGAGGAAGAAAAUUUGACGUGGUGUAUGCGCUCAUGAGGUGGAAAAUUUGACGUGGUGUAUGCGCUCACGAGGUAGAAAAUUUGACGUGGUGCAUACAACAAGGAGGUAGAAAGUUUGACGUGGGGUAUAGGCUCAGAAGGUAGAUUUGACGUCGUGUAUACGCCCAAUAGGUAGAUUUGACGUCGUGUAUACGCUCAUUAGGUAGAAAAUUUGACGUGGGGUAUAGGCUCAGAAGGUAGAUUUGACGUCGUGUAUACGCUCGGGAGGUAAAUUUGACGUCAUGUAUACGCUCAGGAGGUAGAUUUGAAGUCGUGUAUACAUACGCGCAUGCAGGAAGUAGAAAGUUUGACGUCGUGAAACUUUAGUAUAUAUACACUCAGAAGGUAGAUUUGAAUUGGUGUUUGUGCUCAGGUGGCAGAAAAUUUGUUUUUCAUGUGUAUACGCUCAGGAGAAAGAAAAUUUGUCUUUGUGUAAUUGUUCAGGAAGUUGACUACAUGGAAGUCCAAAAAUGUGGUGAUCAUUUUGUUACUGUUGUGUAUUGUAUCUGGUUCAUCCAUCCCAAAUUUUACCACAGUUAUGAACCAUAUCACUUUUGUUUCCUUAUUUCUAGUUUGCAAGAUCAAAAUAGAACUCUCAUCAUGAUUGAUAUUAUAAAAUAAUUAUUCAAGUUGUACUGACCUAAUAAAACAACAGUGCUGUUUUAUUGACGUUCGCCCUAAUUGUCUGUAUUUUGUUAUAACAAAUACGAAAUUAAUUCGUGCAUUCGUUGUACCAGUAAAACCGAUAUCUAUGAAUUGUUAUUCUUUCAAAAAUUAACACAUCUGUCAGUUUACCCGACAUCAUGCUGCCAAUGUGAGAACUCUCCAUCCAAGUCACAAUGUGUACAAAUAAUACCAUAGUCCGUAUUUUGAACUACAAUAAAAUUGUUUGUUUUUAGUAAAUUGUGACUUGGAUGGAGAGUUGUUUCGAUAGGACUCAUUCCACAUCUUCUUACAUCUAUAUAAUUUCUGACAUUGCUAUAGCUAUCAGGCUAUGUAGUUUCAAGUAUCAACCUAUAUGCCUUUUUAUCAUCUCAAAUCUUCAAUAUUUCCUAGCAGGUAGUUUUUAAUUGAUCUCGACAUAAAAUAGGUGGGAAAAUAUGAUGCCGUAACGGGUAUCGAUAUAUAUUGUAUAUUUAAACACAAUAUGCUGGCUGAUUUGAUUACUCCGAUCAAUAUAAAGACAACUUAGACGAACAUGAUCAAUGUAUUAUAAUAAUUGCUAUAAUUAUCAUAUUGCGAUAUUGAAUGUGUAUAAUUUCUGUUUACUGAAACUAAGAUGUCAUAUAUUUUAGUGUCCAUGGCAGAUGAAUGAAUUUAUCAAUUUGUUCAUCAUUUUAACUAUUGUACUAUUUCUUAUUGCUUAGAUCUGUCGUUACAGUUCAAACCAUUUUCAUUUACUGUCUAUUCAAAUAUAUAUAGUCUUAUACUUUCAUUUGAAGGUCCUAAUCCUCUUCAAUGUACAGCGUUUUCCUGCGAACUGUUAUACCAUGUUAUAUAGCUAGCAGGGCCGUAACUAGAGUUCGAAUUCAGGGGAGGCAGGGAUUUGGGGGCCGCCGAUUGAGGCCCCCUAAGAGAGAGGGGGUUGGGGGCGCAGCCCCCGCCGAUUUUUUUCUCGCAGUAAAAUGGCUAAAAAUUACCUGUUUUCCUUCGAUUUACUUACUUUAAGAAACGUCAGUAUUGCUUGAACCUGGAAGCAAUUUAUAUGCAAAAACAAACUGAGAUUGCUGUUCGGGGUAAGCCAAGGCUCCGUCUUGAAGGCCGUACUUUGACAUUGUGACCGCGGAUUUUGUUCUCAAUAUGGCUAAAAAUUACCCGUUUUCCUUCGAUUGCCUUACUUUAAGAAACAUCAGUAUUGCUGGAUCCUUGAAGCAUUUUUUUUAUACAAACAAUUAUUAUCCGUAUUUAAAGAUAGUUUUUGUUGGAAAUCAAACUGGUAAGUUAAAAAAACAUUUAAAGCAAGAUCAUAGAAAAUAAGAUAUUUUUUUUGGCGAGGACCUUGAAUUUUAAUAUUGGUGAAAGCUGAUCAGACAUGUAUAUAACUACAACAAGGGACUUUCUAAAAUAGUAUAUACUUAGUUUAGAAAGUCUCUGCUUCAACGAAUGGGAGUGUUUAACUACUAAGGCAUUGAUUAGAAUGUUCUCGUACGAUCGGCCGGGAGACGUUAAAAAAAUGACACAACAGCUGAUUCAGCCGGUAACGAAUUUCCAAUAUCAUAAAAGGUUCACAAUACAAAGGGAGCUUCCUCUGCUUAAUGGAUCCCCUAAAUAUAUGUGAAAUAUUCAGUUUUAUUCAACAAUUGUUCAAAUAACAAAUUAUGUUGUUUCAUAUGUGUUCUCGUACAAAUACUGAAUAACAGUGCCAAACGAAAAAUAAAAUACUGAAACGGUUCACUUUCGGUAAAAAAAUCCGGAAAAUGACAGAUAUAUCACGUAUCUUAAUAACACUGUUAAAACUGUAAACUUGUUGAAAGCAAAGUUUCAUACGUGUUCUCGUACAAAUACUGAAUAACAGUGCCACACGAAAAAUAAAAUACUGAAACGGUUCACUUUCGGUAAAAAAAAUCCGGAAAAUGACAGAUAUAUCACGUAUCUUAAUAACACUGUUAAAACUGUAAACUUGUGUUGUUUAUAAUAUAAAUUCAAGUUCUUCGUGUACAUAUUGUCAAUAUUUCAUUUGAUUACUUCGAAAAAAAAUUUUGGUGUAGAAAAUUCAGGGGAGGCAACUCCCUCCCCUGCCUCAUAGGUAGUUACGGCCCUGGCUAGCAUUAAAAGAUCCGACUCAACGUGUUGGUCCAAUUCACAUUAAAAAAAUGAAAAUAAUUUCAAACAUGUACAUGUAAUGUUUGCAACAGUAGGUUAAACAACAACCCAUUCUCAAUACAUUCUUCUAUUCGCUUCACUUGCAUUGUACACAGCACUGUACUAUACUGGCAUCCGAGUUAUCGUGGUUAUGUCGUUGGUGCAGGAUAGUUGUGAUUUUUAUACGAGACACUCACAGUUGCUUACGUUACACAUUGCUUUAAAAAAAUCUAAACAUACAUUUAUUAAUUUAUUUAUUUGGUGGUAAACAAAUUGCAUCAAAGAGUCGUCUGCUUCUAAUGGAACAUUCCUCUCAGGAAAUCAGAUCAUUUGAAGAAAAUUAGUUGUCUGUCUUUAAUGGAAUAUUUGCAGAAAAAACAUUUCUGUACUAAAUUGAGAAUGUUUUGUGUAUAUACUUAGACAGCUAUUUGAAAAAAAAUGUAGGAAUCUAAUUUGCUUAGAUGCAAAUUUCCGAAUGUAAGUUUCAUUGCAUAAUGUUUUCCGUUUUGACGAAAUUGACAUGUUUAUAACUCUGCAGUUAGAUCUGGUGAUGAAAUAGUGUCUGGAACAUCAUUUAUCAUUUAAUUCUUAUACUGCCAUUAGGGAAAUCAAAAGCAUUUUUUCUAGUUGAUUAAAAAAAUGGCUGCCUAACUGGGAAUCUUUGGCCGAUCAAUUAUAUUUAUUCCAUAUGGAAGAUUUCGUUUCGUCAUGCAUAACAUAGGUAAACUAUAUAACAAAGAACGUUUAAAAAAUAAAAUGUAGUAAUAUUCUUCUCAAAGUGUUCCAUUUUGUCACAAGUAAAUCAUAUAGCUUAGAACAUUUCUAAAAUCAAAUGCUGUAAGAUUCUUCUUAAAGUGUUCCAUUUUGUCAAAAGUAAAUCAUAUAACAAGAAACAUUUCAAAAAUCAAAUGAUGUAGGAUUCUUCGCAAAAUGUUCCUUUUUGUCAAAAGUAAAUCAUAUAGCAAGGAACAUUUCCAAAAUCAAAUGCAAUAAGAUUCUUCUUAAAGUGUUCCAUAGUGUCAAAAGAAAAUCUUAUAGCAAGGAACAUUUCCAAAAUCAAAUGCAAUAAGAUUCUUCUUAAAGUGUUCCAUAGUGUCAACAGAAAAUCUUAUAGCAAGGAACAUAUCCAAAAUCAAAUGCAGUAAGAUUUUUCUAAAGAGUUCCAUUUCGUCAAAAGUAAAUCAUAUAGCAAGGAACAUUUCCAAAAUCAAAUGCAAUACAUUCUUCUUAAAGUGUUCCAUAGUGUCAAAAGGAAAUCUUAUAGCAAGGAACAUUUCCAAAAUCAAAUGCAGUAAGAUUCUUCUAAAAGUGUUUCAUUUUGUCAAAAGUAAAUCAUAUAGCAAGGAACAUUUCCAAAAUCAAAUGAAAUAAGAUUCUUCUUAAAGUGUUCCAUAGUGUCAUAAGAAAAUCUUAUAGCCAGGAACAUUUCCAAAAUCAAAUGCAGUAAGAUUUUUCUUAAAGAGUUCCAUUUCGUCAAAAGUAAAUCAUACUAUAUAUAGCUAGGAACAUUUCCAAAAUCAAAUGCAAUAAGAUUCUUCUUAAAGUGUUCCAUAGUGUCAAAAGAAAAUCUUAUAGCAAGGAACAUUUCCAAAAUCAAAUGCAAUACAUUCUUCUUAAAGUGUUCCAUAGUGUCAAAAGAAAAUCUUAUAGCAAGGAACAUUUCCAAAAUCAAUUGCAGUAAGAUUCUUCUUAAAGUGUUUCAUUUUGUCAAAAGUAAAUCAUAUAGCAAGGAACAUUUCCAAAAUCAAAUGCAAUACAUUCUUCUUAAAGUGUUCCAUAGUGUCAAAAGAAAAUCUUAUAGCAAGGAACAUUUUCAAAAUCAAAUGCAAUAAGAUUCUUCUUAAAGUGUUCCAUUUUGUCAAAAGUAAAUCAUAUAGCAAGUAACAUUUUCAAAAUCAAAUGCAAUAAGAUUCUUCUAAAAGUGUUCCAUUUUGUCAAAAGUAAAUCGUAUAGUUAGGAGCAUUUCUAAAAUCUAAUGCAGUACAAUUCUUCCAAAAGUGUUCCUUUUUGUCAACAAACUUGUGAUAUUUUUUUUAAUCGUCUUAAAAAAAAAAUAUGAAUGAAACUACAUGUGAAGCUUCGUUUCGUGUGAAGUUUAGCAAUGACGCCAUCUAAUUAAAUUUCGAGUUGACCUUUUAUGACCAUAUAAGCGAUGUAAACAUAAACAUAGAUUUAAAUAGAUUAAGCAGCUCGUGCAGUUGGAUUUUUAUAGGUCCACUAAAUUUUGUAUUAUAGAUUAAAAAUUUAUGUUUAUGAUCGUUUUUUUUUCCUACAUAAGAAUGAGUUUUUGUGGAUCGAAUCAGUCAAUCAAAUUAUUUACCUUUGUUUCACUUUCAAUGUUGACAUUCUUUUCCUGUAAAUAACCGUACACGGACAAUGCAUGCGUUAUGGUUCUAUCUCGUUCUACGGGGUUAAAUUGGAGUUCACAUGAAUACAGGUUUAAUGAGGUCGAAUUAUUCACUUGCAAGUGAAUAAUUCAUUAUCAAUUUUUAUUAACUUAAUUUGAUAAAAUUGAACCAUUUUAGCUGCUAAAAGUGAAUUAUUAUUUCACCUUUUCACUUUCAUUAAAGAUUGAACAAUAAAAAUUGCUAAACGGCGCCAUAGGGUUCAACCUAUCACUUGAGAUGGGAUUCUGAAGACCAUGGUUUGCCAAUAUCAACUUUGGAAUCGAAAAUUGUAAAACCUUCAAUAAACAUUAUGUAUUCUGCUAUUAUUGGAGCUUUAUGCAUCAUUCAGAAUUUGUCACAUAAGCAAUAUGUUCAUAUAGAUCUUGUUACCCGAGAAAUUGAUAAAAUGGACCGUUGAAAAGUAGACUCUGACAAAAGCAGUAGUGGUACAUUUUCUAUUUCCAACACUUUGUAUAAAAUAACAUACAAACUGCCUUCUGCCCGAGCCAAAAGUGUUCACUUGAUCAGUUCAUAUGAGUGUCCCUGUUGGUCUAAAUAUUUCACAAAUAGACGAUAAAGCACAUUAGACUCAAAAUCACCUUAACACUUUUUGUAGAAACACGCUUUACACAUUAGUUCUAAACUAUCCAAAGUGUCGUUCGUCUGUGAUGGUUGUCGGUUUUGUGAUACAAUAUCAACUUGAUACUAGUUUUCAACCGCACUAUGGGCGAAUCAUACAGAGGAGCAAGUUCUAAUCAUGUGCUUGCGCUGUCGACACAUCUUACUGCAGUCCGUUUAUUAUGAUUCCUUCUAUUUUCUUUUGAUAUCCAAUAUACUAAACAAUGCUCUUCGUUUUACAGAGAUGAACAGCCGUCAGACGACAGGUAGCAUUUGUUAAACUAACAAGAAGUGUUUUGGCUUUGUACUAAUAUCUUAUACUUUACUAAUAAUCAUGUUAGAAUGUAAUAUCUUUAUAUUAUAACAGGUUUUUUUCAUACUAAAACCAAAGUGCCUUGAGGACUGAAAAUAAAUGUAAAAGCAUUUGCGGUGUGUUUGAUUUUCUUCUGUCAUUGGGGGAAAAGAAGAUUUAUUUUUUAUUUUAAUUCAUUUCUAUUCUUAUUUGAUUUAUAUUGGGGGAAGGAGAGUCCGAGAAUUUAUUCUACGAUUUUGAUUAAGACGUUUUUUGUUUUGUAAAUAAAUAACAACCUUUUGUUUUGAACACCAACCAAUCAAUCAAUCUAUGAAUAAGAAGUCAUAGAAACUGUUUCUUUAAACUACACAUUUCAAAACGCUGGCCUUUGUAAGAUUCACUAUUAGUCUCCUUUAAACCUUAGUACAUCAUAUAUAUUAACACUUUUUGUGACUUGCAUAUUAUAUUGUAAUGGUCAUUAUUUUUUUUUUAUUAAUGCUUAGAUAUGGUUGUUAAACUUAUUUGAAUUGUAUUGAUUUUUUUCCUUUUCUGUUCACAUCUUAAAAAAACAAUUUUUAAUUACAAUUUUAAAUACAGUACUUACAAGUUUUAAUAAUAAUUUUAUUCUACAGAAUUUUAUUCAAUUUGUAACAGUUUUUAUAAAUUAUUUUAAUAAAUGUAUCGCUCUUUUGUUCAUUAUUAUUACAAACUUUUUGCAGAAGUUUCGUCCAAUAUAUUUGUUUCCAUGUUUUUCGUUUAUCUUUAAGUUUUAGGGUUUCAAGUGACGAUAUAGAACUUGAAAUAGAACACGAUUCUAGGUAUAUAUCUUAUUUAUAAAUUAACAAGAACUAUACUCAAUGCAAAUACAAAUCUAUUCUCGAGAAUAUUAACAUACUUUCAAGUAAAGUCUGAAUCUAUACUUAGGAGAUUUUUGUACGCAUUGUUGUAGAACCAGAUCAUCUAUGUGCGAUUGGAAACUUGUAUCCAAUGAAUUUCACCAAAAUGAAGGCAUAUAUGAAAACCUUAUUUCAAAUACUUCAGCCUGUUGAAAAUUAGACAAAGUCCUAUUUUAGUAGUCAAUGGAGGGCAUAUAGUCUGUUGAUAUGUAAGAUUGUUUCUAGAUGACUAUACAUGUUUCCUUUGACCAAUAUCAUACCAUUCCCUGUAGAUUAUUGUUAUUAAUCGUAGAAAAUAUGACAAAACUAUUGCUAACAUCUUUGAAAAUGCUGAAAUCUGCAAAAGCGGUGUUUUAUUGAUGUCGGCAAUUGUUUGAUCUAAAAAGAAAAAGAAAAAAGAAGUCAACCAAGAUAUUUUAAUGGCAAAUUAAGUCCAUAUGACACACAAAAAACACAAAAAUGUGUUACAUCUUAAGAUAUAUUUAGUUAAAAUUACAGUUCGAUAUAUAAGUUAUAUAUAAUCAGGGAAUAUCAUAAAUAAAAGCGAAAGAUACCAAAGGGACAUUCAAACUUAAAAGUAAAAAAUAAACUGACAACAGAUGCUGGUAUUUAUUUUGUUUUUCUAUUUUUAAAAUCAAUAAUAACUGAUAUUUUAAAGUAUUGUGGAUCAGUUUUUUUGGGUUUUUUUUUUUUACAAUCAACAUUAUAUAAUUAACAAGUCAUUUGUUGUAAUCAAUAUGGGUCUAUACAUCUAUGAUUUUACCAGAAUUAGCUUCUUUUUCUCUCUCGCUUUUUGGUCCUUUCAAGACUUUAAACAGCUUAUACGAGCCAUUUCAAUUAUUCUUAUAUAUAAGGUGGUUGUUUAGCAACGUAUAUGACAUCUUGCAGAUACUUCAUUUUUUUUAAAUCGUAAAAACUUGAGAAAGACAAUAUUUCACAGUUUAGAAAUUCUGUCGACUGUAUUUUCAGUUGUUCAAUUUCAAUGUUAGACUUUCCUUAAGAAAAUGGUUAAUCGUUUAAUAAAAUGAUUUAUCAGAAUGUGACUUACGAUUGCGAUUUUCAAUGUUGUAUGCGAUAAAUAGCACAGUUAAAGUUGCGUUCAUUUACUGUUAUGUAGUCAUUAGCAUACUACCAAUGGCUGACUAUUAUAUUUGUUUCAAAAUUAGUCCCAACAAAUGAAAAAAAAAAAAGGAGUGACAGAUAUGUUUCUAUGUGUGCACACAAAAAACGCUGAUGGAAACAUAGCUAUUGACCAAAUUGGUGUUUGGAUUUAUGAGCAUUUCCAAAUAAUCAAUUGUCCUCUGAGUUUUGAUAAAACACUCGUAAUUUCCUGACUCAUACCUAUAUUUUGAAUGUUUGCAUAAACAAAAAAAUUGAUAUUUCAUUUUUAAAAUCUUGAGAAAUCUUUAUAUAUAUAUUGAAUUUAAAGCAAUGGUUAAUUUAAAUUUAUCUUUUUCUCCUGUUUCAAGCAUCAUACCAUCAUUUUACAAAUUGUAGAAUUAAAAACAAUAAAUGAAACUAGCAUGUACUCGUGUGUGAAUUAUUAUGGUCAAAUCAAGUGUUUCCGGUUUGCUAUCGACCCAAUUGCACUUUUCAUCUCCGUGAUGAAGUCUGUUUAAUUGUUCAAAGCCGAGUAUAGCUCACAAUAAGUUAAUAAAUCGAUCAUGUUAAAAGCAAUUUCUAAAACUGAUGUUAAUUUGCUUAGGUGUUUUAUUCAGUGUCAUGUAAAUACAAGAAAAAACUAUGAUUCAAAGACUUAGCUUACAUAUUUCUUGGAAUGGAGUACGUGUUUCUUUGGGUGGAUUAGAGUCAGAUUUUUUUGUUUAAGUCUUGCACCCGAGAUCAUCCCAAUUUUCGGUGGGGUUCGUGUUGCUUAGUUUUGAAUUUUUCAAUGCUGUGUUUUGUGUUCUAUUGUUUGCCUGUUUGUCUUUUUCUGUUUUAGGUUGGGUAUUGUCAGUUAAUUUUCGAUUUAUGAGUAUGUCUGUCCCUUUGAUAUCUUUCGUCCCUCUUUUAAUACAAUAAUGGGAGUCAUACCUUCAGUUUUCCAAUUAUAUAAUUUUGGACAUUUGUUAAAAGUAAGAAGAUAUCAUACCUCUUGAAUCAGUUGUUAGCCGAAGACAACAGACAACACCAAUACCAAAAGAGACAAACAUAAAACUAGAUAAAGCAACACGGAUACUUCCAAAAUAACGGGGGAUUACAAUUAGUGCUGAACAAAAUGUUGUAAAAAAUACUUUAUUGUAACACAGUUAACCAUGUUUGUCAAAUUGUUAAAUAUAAUUACUCGCCAAAAGUAUUAUUGCAUAGCAAUAUAAUAUUCCCCUCAGAAAGUAACCAAAAGUUGUCGUAGAACAUAUAUUGCACUCGCAAGUUCGUGCAAUAUAAAAUUCUACUCGGGACAAUAUUCCCCAAUAUUCAUGCAAUAACCCUUUAAUACUAAAAAUAAAUUAAGGACUGAAUGUAUAUAUACAUAAUAUUUAUGUUAUACGAAUUUAAGGCGCAAUUACUACAUAAGUAAGCCGCCCACCAAAACCAAUAACAAUAACAACAACAUAAUGCAGCACAAUCGGUACAAAAAACUUUAAACUCAAACAUGUACGUGAUGUUCCCAUUUUGUCUUUGGCAUUUAAAAAAACCCAUAUAUAAUAUACAAGCACUCAAUUAGACGAUGAUGAACAGCCAACACAUAGCUUUUAUCCAGGGUACUAGUAACUUAAUGACCAGAAUUUUCUUCAGAUUAUAUCGAGCAUGUAAACUUAUAAACCUGUCUCUCGAGAGUGGGAAUGGUAUAAUCACAAAAAUACUGAACUCCGAGGAAUAUUCAAAAUGUACUGUCACUUACCAAAUUGCAAAAUCAAAAGCUCAAACACACCAAACUAAUGGAUACUAACUGUCAUAUUCCUGACUUGGUACAGGCAUUUUUUUUAUGUAGAAAAUGGUGGAUUCAACCUGGUUUUAUAGCUAGCUAAACCUCUCACUUGUAUGACAAAUCGCAUAGAAUUCAUGGGAACGCACUCUGGCGGAUUUCGGAAUAAUAGUCUCCACUUCCCACACUCCCUCCUUAUUCACAUUUUUACGUGAUAACUUAGUUUUAUCGUAUUUUAGAAAUUGAUGUAAAAAAAAAUGUAAUAGUAACAUUUGUAAUGAAUCAACGUACCAAAAAGACAAAAGGACAGCGACAUAAACAGUUACUGAUCACCGUACGACUUUCAACAAGAGAAAGGUUCAUCCCUGAUCAUAGUAAACAUUUUCUUUUAAAUAAGAGAGACCACUGGCCUGUAACUUGCAAAAAUAUUUAUUUCAAACCCUCAGAGAAAACAAUGAUAAUAAAGAUUUAUUUGAUUUAGUUAGUGAUAUACAGUAGAAAUCGAUACAUGUUUAGAAGAUAAAGGAAUAAAUCGUAUAAACAAAAUACCUAUAAUUUAGGCUAAAAAUCAAUGGAUAUAAAUGGCGAUGAUGGUAUGCUCAAGCUCUCUGUAUAACUAGCACGAGUUUUUCAAGGCCUUGAAAUUCUAGAUAUUUUACUCAAAGAGGUUAAUGGAACAAUAUCUGGCGUUGACCAUACUUUUUUUAAAAUGUGUAUUUUUUUUUUGGGGGGGGGGGGGGUAUAAAACUCGCAAUAUAACUGAAGUACCAACCAUACCAAAGUUUCAGAUUCCUUUUCACCAUAUCCUGAGACCCAUUAAACAUUGUGAUUUAGACAUAUGUUUGGUAUUAUAGUUUGAACUUGAAGUGUAUUAUCUCAUUUAUCACGAUUUAAUUGUUUUUGUUCAUUAACGGUGAAUCAUUCUUUGAAUUUAUUAAAAAUCCUACAAUACUUUGGUACAAUGAAUAAUAGUGUAGCAUCAGUUUUCAAUAAAUAUGACAAACAAUUAAAAGCUGUUGUCAAAUAACAAAUUCCCAAAUUUUAAAUAUCAAACAAACAAUUUAAACAUAUUUAUUCUCUCUCAAUCCUUCCCCCUUUUCGUUUCGAUCUAUGGACUAUCAAGAGUACACACAAGAAUAUACAAUACAAUCAAUACAGUAAUAGUAUUUUACUCUAUUACAACUGAACAUUAUUGUAUAGAGUCUAUACAACCUCAGCAUUGUUCUGGCUUCAAUUAUAUUGCAGUCACCGAACAAUCUUUGUCAUAUCUCAAUAUCUGACUUAACUAAUACAAGUUUUAUAACUGAUACACACUUUAACACUCAGUUGCUCUUACCUGACCAAUCUUGAAUAUUUAUAGUAAGUAAUGUCUGUGGACCAGUUUAUAAUAUUUUUGUGUUAUUGUCCCCAGAAAGAAAAAAAGACUAAGACAUUGAAAAGAACAAGAUCAUGUCAUUGUCCGUGUCAUACAAUGUAUCAAUAGUGGAUACGUUGAAAGUUGUAGUUUAACUAAAUAAUUACCAAACACAAGUGACUAAAAGGAUAUAAAAACUUUAAGUAACCAUGUACAUGUAUUAAUCAAAAAUUCUAAUUGGUUAUCAUUUAUUUUCAGAAUGGCAACGUUUACUGUCGGAGGAGGAGGCCAGGAUGAUGGGGAUUUUAACGGACCAUAUGAUGGAAAUAUUCGCCAUGUUGCCAAAAAGGCAGCUAACCUUAGUCUUCCGGGAACAUUAGGCUCCAACUCUAGAUCUUUAUUUAUCUUUAGUGAAGAAAACUUUAUCAGAAAAUACGCCAAGAUAAUCAUAGAAUGGGG
rnacentral:lncRNA from 1 species